GGAAGGAUCAUUACUGAAUUGUCGACACGAGUUGUUGCUGGUCCUCGAAUGGGGGCAUGUGCACGCUCUGUUUACACAUCCACUCACACCUGUGCACCCUCUGUAGUUCUAUGGCCUGAGGGACGAUGUCCACUUGCCAUGGUUCUAUAUCUUUACAUACACACACCAUGAUAAAGUCUUAUGGAAUGUAUGCCGCGUUUAACGCAAUACAAUACAACUUUCAGCAACGGAUCUCUUGGCUCUCGCAUCGAUGAAGAACGCAGCGAAAUGCGAUAAGUAAUGUGAAUUGCAGAAUUCAGUGAAUCAUCGAAUCUUUGAACGCACCUUGCGCCCUUUGGUUAUUCCGAAGGGCAUGCCUGUUUGAGUAUCAUGAACACCUCAACUCCCAUGGUUCGCCAUGGUGAGCUUGGACUUUGGAGGUCUUGCUGGCAUGUGGUCGGCUCCUCUCAAAUGAAUCAGCUUGCCAGUGUCUGGUGGCGUCGCAGGUGUGAUAACUAUCUACGCUUGUGAUAAAUCCGCCAGGUAACCUUCAGCAAUGGAGGUUCACUGGAGCUCACAGAUGUCUCUGCUCAGUGGGAGACAGCUUUUGAACAUUUGAUCUCAAAUCAGGUAGGACUACCCGCUGAACUUAAGCAUAUCAAUAAGCGGAGGAAAAGAAACUAACAAGGAUUCCCCUAGUAACUGCGAGUGAAGCGGGAAGAGCUCAAAUUUAAAAUCUGGUGUGCCUCUGGCCAUCCGAGUUGUAGUCUGGAGAAGCGACUUCCGUGUUGGACCGUGUAUAAGUCUCUUGGAACAGGGCGUCAUAGAGGGUGAGAAUCCCGUCUUUGACACGGACUACCAAUGCUUUGUGAUGCGCUCUCAAAGAGUCGAGUUGUUUGGGAAUGCAGCUCAAAAUGGGUGGUAAAUUCCAUCUAAAGCUAAAU
rnacentral:rRNA from 1 species